rnacentral:rRNA from 1 species
AGCGAACGCUGGCGGCAGGCCUAACACAUGCAAGUCGAACGAACCUUUCGGGGUUAGUGGCGGACGGGUGAGUAACACGUGGGAACGUGCCUUUAGGUUCGGAAUAACUUAGGGAAACUUGUGCUAAUACCGAAUGUGCCCUUCGGGGGAAAGAUUAAUCGCCUUUAGAGCGGCCCGCGUCUGAUUAGCUAGUUGGUUGAGGUAAUGGCUCACCAAGGCGACGAUCAGUAGCUGGUCUGAGAGGAAGAUCAGACACAUUGGGACUGAGACACGGCCCAAACUCCUACGGGAGGCAGCAGUGGGGAAUCUUGCGCAAUGGGGGAAAGGCUGACGCAUCCAGGCCGCGUGAAUGAUGAAGGUCUUAGGAUUGUAAAAUUCUUUCACCGGGGACGAUAAUGACGGUACCCGGAGAAGAAGCCCCGGCUAACUUCGUG